ACGAACGCUGGCGGCGCGCCUUACGCAUGCAAGUCGAACGCCCCGGUUCGCCGGGGAGUGGCAGACGGCUGAGUAACGCGUAGGUAACCUGUCCCACAGUGGGGGAUAACCCGCCGAAAGGUGGGCUAAUACCGCAUUCGAUCCCGUGGUGAGAUACCGCGGGAGGAAAGCCGCAAGGCGCUGAGGGAGGGGCCUGCGUCCUAUCAGGUAGUUGGUGAGGUAACGGCUCACCAAGCCGACGACGGGUAGCUGGUCUGAGAGGACGACCAGCCAGACGGGGACUGAGACACGGCCCCGACUCCUACGGGAGGCAGCAGCGAGGAAUCUUGGGCAAUGGGCGAAAGCCUGACCCAGCGACGCCGCGUGGGGGAAGAAGGCCUUCGGGUCGUAAACCCCUUUUGUCGGGGAAGAAGCUCUGACGGUACCCGGCGAAUAAGCCACGGCUAACUACGU
rnacentral:rRNA from 1 species